AUCCAGAUGACGCGUCCUAAAUAGGACGAAACGUGCGUUUUGGAU
rfam:Schistosoma haematobium scaffold142_15, whole genome shotgun sequence.